rnacentral:tRNA from 1 species
CAAGACAUGGCCGAGCAGCAAGGCAUCUCCCUUACACUGAGAAUACAUCCAUGCAAAUUGGAUUGUCCUGA